rfam:Pisolithus microcarpus 441 unplaced genomic scaffold scaffold_56, whole genome shotgun sequence.
GGCAAGAUGGCCGAGCGGUCUAUGGCGUGUGACUCAAGCGGAAGCUUGCCUGAUUCUUCAGGUCUUCUCAUCCUCGUAAGAGGGCGUGGGUUCAAAUCCCACUCUUGUCA